ACGGGAGGCAGCAGUGGGGGAUAUUGCACAAUGGGGGAAACCCUGAUGCAGCAAUGCCGCGUGAGGGAAGACGGUCUUCGGAUUGUAAACCUAAGUAGUCAGGGAAGAAGUCAGUGACGUUACCUGAAGAGUAAGCUCCGGCUAACUACGUGCCAGCAGCCGCGGUAAUACGUAGGGAGCGAGCGUUGUCCGGAUUUACUGGGUGUAAAGGGUGCGUAGGCGGGUCUACAAGUCAGAUGUGAAAUGCCGAGGCUUAACCUCGGAGCUGCAUUUGAAACUGUAGAUCUUGAGUGAAGUAGAGGCAAGCGGAAUUCCUAGUGUAGCGGUGAAAUGCGUAGAUAUUAGGAGGAACACCAGUGGCGAAGGCGGCUUGCUGGGCCUUAACUGACGCUGAGGCACGAAAGUAUGGGGAGCAAACAGGAUUAGAUACCCUGGUA
rnacentral:rRNA from 1 species